CCACAACUUCCAUUAAAACUACUGGGAGAUACUGAACACCUCGGAGAGUUAGGCCCUUGAUGGCUACAAGGAGGCAGUGUGGUUCCCCAGUGCUCCAGAGAGGAACGAGCUCCGCCGGACACCAGAGUGAGCAGAGCCAGAGCACUCCAAGCCCGCCCCACAGAGGGAGAGAGGCAGGACAGGAAGUAUAAGAGCCCAACCCGAGAGCUCACUCGAGAGGCAGCCACUGGAGAUGCCAGACGUCUCCAGCCCAGGUCUCACUGGGAAGACUCCAGCAACCGGCAGUGGACCUGGAGACUGGCCUGACUGGCCGAUACUCAACACGGAUCAGCGUGUGGAAAAGUCACUGAGCCUACCCCUUGCCAGCUACCCCAAGGAUCCAAUGGUGAUCGACUCCCCUGAGGACAACACCCUGACCCAGCCCCCUGCCGGACAGCUUGAGCCAGGACUCCUGUGGCCCAACUGAUUCCCCAGGGGCCAGUGCAAGGACUGAAGGAGGCGGUGUGGUUCCCCGCCGCCCUGGAAUGGGACGAACCCCAACGACCCCUCUCUACAGGUAUCCAAUGCAAAGUUUGUCAUGUCGGGUGUCUUCAGAAGGCUCAUGAUGCACUAAGCAUUGUUGUUAUAGUAAAGUUAUAGGUUGUAAUUUCAUGUAUAUAGUUAUGAGGCUGAAAAUGUGUCCUCGUGGCUUAAAGCAAGCCCAGGCAAAACUCUCCAGGAACCGUGGGGCAGUUCAUACCUCAUCAGGGCAUGUAUGGGACAAACCCAGCCCAGCCUCCAAGGAACAAAGGCACUGGCCUAAGCAGCAGCAAAGGAUCUGUUUGACUCUCCAGUGAGUCACCCCCCUUCCCUUGGUCAGUCUGGGACUACUGAGGUAAUGAUUACUGAGGUAAUGCUCAUCUGACUCUGAAAGGGGGGACCAAAGCCAAGAGGGAAGAAAGAACAUGAUAAAAGGGAGAGACAUUUGCCAUGCUCUUCCUCGCUCUUUCACCUCCAUCUACAGACAUCACCACCAAGCGACUGAAGUGCUUAUCCAAGGGGAGAGCCUGGCUGAAGGGCAACCAGCCAGCCUGUGGUGAGAAGCAUCUAAGUUUGUAAGGACACUGAAAGUGUUAAGAUCAGCUUAGAAUGCAUUUUGCUUUUAUUUCAUUUGACCAAAUCUGA